GGCGAACGGGUGAGUAACACGUGGGUAAUCUGCCCUGCACUCUGGGAUAAGCCUGGGAAACUGGGUCUAAUACUGGAUAUGACCUUUCUCCUUAUGGGGUUUGGUGGAAAGUUUUUCGGUGUAGGAUGAGCCCGCGGCCUAUCAGCUUGUUGGUGGGGUGAUGGCCUACCAAGGCGACGACGGGCAGCCGGCCUGAGAGGGUGAUCGGCCACAUUGGGACUGAGAUACGGCCCAG
rnacentral:rRNA from 1 species